GGUGGCUUCCAAGGCGGCUCCGUAGUGGAUGCAGCGCCGGACGCCACAACCGAAAAACAGAAUCUUGGAACUGGUUUAGUACAAUCCAGGUCGAGUUCCUUGUUUUUUAUCCGAGUGGCCGGCAGGCCCAUGUGCUGUCUUGUUUUUAACACAUCAGCUCUUGCCGGAAGCUGCUCAGAGAUAAAAUAGGAAGUCCCACCCUUCCCUUAGAGAAGGAAAACGGAGAGCCGAAGGAGUCAAUCUAAAUUCGAUGAGCGCGUCGGGCUCUAAGGCAGGCGCUGUCAGCCCGGGAGGGGUGUCUGGGAUUUCUAGAGGGUCCCAGAACGGGUUCUUCCCGGGCCGAUCCCGCCUGCUUCCUGCCCCGUCUCUCCACCCGCCUCCUGCCCUCUGUAAGGAACCCCGAGGGCGGCGCCGGAAACACGGAGAAGGCCCAGAACGGCGCGGGACCCGAGAGGCCUACGUUGGCAAACGCAGCCCGCUGCCCCUUUGCUCGCUUCCCCGGGGCCUGGAGUGGCUCCUUUCGCUUCUGGCGCUCCGAUUUCGAGAAAUGACUUUCAGCUGUGCAAGACGAGAAUGCUACUUUAGAUGAUGAGAAAAAAUCUCUCGAAUGGCUCCCAAAAUGAGGUCCUUUUUUAAGAGGCCACAGGAAGCCGCCAGCCGAACUCUGAUACCAAAGAGGAGGCCAAGAAGCGGACUGUGGCUUGGUGACCUGUUUGGUAUUGCCAAACUUUCAGCUUUUAUUAAAGCUGAAACACCUUGGCUGUUUAAAACGUUCGUCAAGGACUUUUUUAUGAACGUUAACGGCACAGCAUACGGGCUUUUUGGGAAAAAAAAAGGCAGGACUUCAGGAUGUGGUGGUUAACAGCCCGUCCGCCCCCUCGUGCAGGUCCAUUCAUGAACCUCGAGUUAGAGGCCUUUCUUCUGAAACUCAGAAUCUAGUAGGGAAGACCUGUGUAGACGAAUAAAAAUAAAUACAUCACAGCUUGUUAAGUGCUGUGACAAAGAGGCAGUGAAAUCUUGCUUGAGGUCAUCUGCCUUGCCAAAGAGUUUUGACUAUGUUGUAGGCACAGGGUUAGGGUUAGACUCUGUAAAGGGAAGUUAUGUGAUCAGAUUUCUGUUUAGGAAGAUCAUUGGCCAGGCGGGGUGGCUCACGUCUGUAAUCCCAAUACUUUGGGAGGCCGAGUCUGUGGAUUGCUUGAGGCUAGGAUUUUCAGACCAGCCUGGCCAACAUGGUGAAACCCCGUCUCUACUAAAAAUUUGAAAUUAGCCAGGCAUGGUGGUGCGAGCCUGUAAUUCCAGCUACUUGGAGGCUGAGGCGGGAGAAUAGCUUGAACCCAGUGGCGGAGGCUGCAGUGAGCCGAGAUUGCGCCACUGCACUCCAGCCUGGGCGACAGAGCGAGAUUCCAUCUCAAAAAAAACAUUCCAACGAGUGGAUAAAGAAAAUGUGAUAUAUAUGCACUAUGGAAUACUAAGCCAUAAGAAGGAAUGAAAUAAUGGCAUUUGCAGCAACCUAGAUGGAGUUGGAGACCAUUAUUCUAAGUGAAGUAACUCAAGAAUGGAAAACCAAAUAUUGUAUGUUCUCACUCGUAAGUGGGAGCUAAGCUGUGAAGAUGCAAAGGCAUAAGAAUGAUAUAGUGGACUUUGAGGACUCAAGGGGUGAAGGAUGAGACUACACAUUGGGUACAGUGUGCACUGCUUGGGUGAUGAGUGCACCAAAAUCUCAGAACUCACCACUGAAGAACUUCCCCAUGUAACCAAAAACCACCUGUUCCACAAAAACUAUCGAAAUAACAUUUUUAAAACUUUACUAUUUCUGAAUAAAAUUUACAUACAUUUCUCAGAAAAAAAAAUAUUUGGAAUUGAGGUAUCUAAUAGAGAACUGAGUUAAAUUAUUGCCACUUAAAAACACAAAGUGAUAUAGCCACUUUAUGAAUUAAUCAGUCAGCAAUGGCUAGGUUAUGCUUAGUGGUUUAUAACCAAAUCUUAGUUUAUAACAACAAAUGUGUAUUGUUAAUUCCCACUACAAAUUUAUAACGACAUUGCUGGAUGCUACACUCCAUGUCUCUUUGUGGGACCCAGGCUCAUGGGACUUCUGUUAUCUGCAUUAGAGAGAGAGAAGACAACAAAAUAUGCACUGGUUCUUGAAGCUUUGGCCCAGAAGUAAAAUAUGUCUUUUACCUGUUCACAUUGCAUUGGGCCAGGGCAAUUAUCACGGCUGCAAGUAACUUCAAAAGGAUGGGGAAGUGCGAUCUUGGCAUGUGUCAGAAGAAAUGAAAACAUUUGGUGAAGAGCAUUAAUGACUGUCUUUACAGGAAAAAAACAAUCAAAUAGACAUGAUUUCUUCUUUCAGUUUCAUCAUUUCCUACUGUGUUACCUAAACUUUCUGAGCCUCAGUUUCUUAUUACGAAAAUAAAAUAAUGAUAAAGAUGAUAUUCACUUCAAGUACUUUGUGUUAACUAGGGUAAAAAAAAUUGAAAACUGUAGUAAGUUAUGCAAAUUAGAAAUGUAUAAUAUUACUGCUUUGAAAGUGAUGGUGAAAUGUAGAAUAAUUGGAAGGAUAACACAAAGCACUUAUACCAGGAGGCUUUUAGCUGCAGAUAAUAGAAAUCAAUAAAAAAGUGUAUCAGCUCACAAAUUUGUCAUCCAGACAUAAAGGAGGCUUCAGAAUUUAUUGACUCAGGAGUUGAAUGUUGGUAUCAAGGACCUAGAUUUUUCUCAUCACUCUGCACUUCAAUUCUCAAUGCCCGAUUGAACAUCAGGCUGUAGUAAGAUGGCUAGAGUGAUUCCAGGGAUAACAUCUAGAGAGAAAAAAGAGAACUCCUUUUCUUACGAUUUUUUUCUUAAGAGAAAAGGAACUUCCCAAAAGCCCCCAGCAAGCAUGCCUUCACAUCCCAUGGCCAGAAGUGGCUCACAUGUGUACCCUGAGCUAAGCACUGCAAACAGGAAUGGGAUCGCCUGUAGGCCUCAGAGACCACCUGGAUCUUGGGAAGGUGUCAGCUCUACCUGUGGCACUUGGCUGAGUGGGAAAGGGAUGGAAACAUGAAUAAAGUAAGAAUUAGGAAGGAAAAGGAGAAAUGGAUCCAGGGUAUGAAGCCAAUAGUUUAGUUAUCUCAACAAAUAUGAUUGAUUUCAUCUUUAUGAAUGUGAUGAUCUAAUUUAAUACAUUCAAUCAAUGAAGUAAAAAAAAGUGCAAGGACAAUAUGACAUCUGUCAUUCUCUGUUGAGAUUUGAGAGGUAAUAAUACCAAGAACGUGUGGUGACCUGGGUCCUCACUGCUACUGUCUUCCUGUACCUGGACACUUCUAGCAAGAGACUUCAACUUCAGAACAAAGAGGAUCCCAACUUGUAGCUGCAUUAUACACACCCCAGCAGCACAUUUAAGUUGAUUUCUAAUUAUUCCUCUUUAAGAAAUUGUUUGUGGAAUAUUUAUCUAUUUAUAAAUGGAAAAAUAGAAAAUUAAAAUAACAAAAAUAAGUAA
rnacentral:lncRNA from 1 species